rnacentral:rRNA from 1 species
GAAGAGAGAGUUCAAGAGUACGUGAAACCGCAUAGAGUCAAACUGGUGGAUCCGCAGAGUCCGCGCGGGGAAUUCAGCUCGGCAGGCGGGGCCGUGCGCCGGCCGAGAUUCGUCUCGGACCUGGCUGGCGCGCUGCGUACUCGCAGGCAGGGUGCACUUUCCCCGGCUAGCGGAAGGCCACGACCGGUUCGGUGGCGGUCAGGAGCCCGGAUGGGGAGGUAGCCGUGAUCGGUUCACGCCGAUUGCGGAACGUACAGCCCUCCGAGGUGGACUCGCCGCUGGACCGAGGAUGCCGCGGUGGCCUCACGCCGCGGGCCGUCCGGGAGCGUUCGACUUUGGCCACGCUGCUCGCAGCCGGCCGAGACCGCGCUUCUGGUACGGGCUCGCGAACGGGGGCCGCCUAGGGUCAGUGGCGAAUCGGUCGGCAACCCACCAGACCCGUCUUGAAACACGGACCAAGGAGUCUAGCAUGUGCGCGAGUCACGGGGUCUCUCGAAACCCAAGGGCGCAAUGAAAGUGAAGGCCGCCUCCGGCUGGCCCAGGCAAGAUCCCGAGACGUUCGCGUCGAGGGCGCACUGCCGGCCCGUCUCGCUGGCAUCGACCACGAGGCGGAGCAAGAGCGCACACGCUGGGACCCGAAAGAUGGUGAACUAUGCCUGAGUAGGACGAAGUCA